AUAACCCCGGGAAACUGGGGAUAAUACCCCAUAGACUAUGGAAGCUGGAAUGCUCUGUAGCCGAAAGGUCCGCCGCCAUAGGAUGAGUCUGCGGCCGAUUAGGUUGUUGUUGGGGUAACGGCCCAACAAGCCUGUAAUCGGUACGGGUUGUGGGAGCAAGAGCCCGGAGAUGGAUUCUGAGACACGAAUCCAGGCCCUACGGGGCGCAGCAGGCGCGAAAACUUUGCAAUGCGGGAAACCGUGACAAGGGAACUCCGAGUGCCCGUAAAUUCGGGCUGUCCAUCAGUUUAAAAAACUGGUGAAGAAAGGGCCGGGCAAGACCGGUGCCAGCCGCCGCGGUAAUACCGGCGGCUCGAGUGGUGGCCACUAUUACUGGGCUUAAAGCGUCCGUAGCUGGUCUGUUAAGUCUCUGGGGAAAUCUACCGGCUUAACCGGUAGGCGUCUCAGGGAUACUGGCAGACUAGGGACCGGAAGAGGUGAGGGGUACUCCAGGGGUAGGAGUGAAAUCCUGUAAUCCUUGGGGGACCACCUGUGGCGAAGGCGUCUCACCAGAACGGCUCCGACAGUGAGGGACGAAAGCUGGGGGAGCAAACCGGAUUAGAUACCCGGGUAGUCCCAGCUGUAAACGAUGCGCGUUAGGUGUAUCGGUGACCACGAGUCAUCGAGGUGCCGAAGAGAAAUCGUGAAACGUGCCGCCUGGGAAGU
rnacentral:rRNA from 1 species